CCAGGCUUACCCUUUGAGAAAGGUUUUCUUUUGAAGAUUUUUGUCCUUUUUUCCUAAUGAACCUUCUGAAUUUUUGGAUGAUGAACGUCAUAUCCUCAUCCUCAUCUCCUUCUUCUGACUCUUCACUAUCAUCCUUAUCUUUUAUUGUAGAUUUGAGGGCAAUGGUUUUCUUUUUCUUAGCUUUCAAUUUAUUGUUUUGCUUCAUGAUUAACUUAUAAGUUAUGAGAGAACCAAAAAAUUCUUAUAAGAACAAAAUAUUGAGGUCUUUGGCCUCUUGAAUUGCUAUUACUUAACCUCC
rnacentral:lncRNA from 1 species